GUCAGUGGUCGGAGGAGGACCAGGUGAGUGUGUCACUGAGGAGGCCAAGAAAGUUGAAAUUUUCAAGAUGAGAGAGAAUGGUCAAUGGCGGCCAGUGUCACAAAGAAUCCAAGUAAGGGAAGACCAGAAACAUGUCCACAGGAUUUGGCAGGUGAGCCUUGCCACAGCAAUUUCAGCUAAGUAAUGAGAACAGAAGCCUGGCUGAGAGAGAUUAAGAACGGACUUUACUGGAAGGUAAUUGAAAGCUUGGAAAGCAAAACCCUGGAUAAGAGGGACCUACUGCUCACAGUCUCUC
rnacentral:lncRNA from 1 species